ensembl:lncRNA
CGGCGGCCUCCCGGGCGCCGCCCGCCCCGGGCUCCGCGCGCCGCGCCGCCGCGAGACGCGGGCGAUGGCGGCGAUCAGGCGCUCCAGGAAGAGGUUGAAGAACAGGAGGGAGCUGGAGCACCCCAGGAGGCCGUAGACGAUCAGGAACACCUUCCCGCCCACUGUCGCUGGCGUGGCCAUCCCAAACCCUGCGGGAGACAGAAAUCGGAGGAGUACCUUUAAUUCUUAUCCCCAAGCUCGAGUUGAAAUGAGGCGGCUGAAGUAGCAGAGGGUUAAGAAAAAACUGAGUUUACAGACUGAACUGAGAGCAGCGGUUUUUUUCUACCUAGUCCAAGGAACACAGCGGGGUCGGCAAGGUGUUGAGUGAUUGCUUCCUGAUCUAGGGGCGCUGGGGCACCUCCUCCGGCUCAGUGAACUCCUGAAACCAGUAAAGCUUCUGCAUGUUCCUGCACGAAGAAGAUGUAAAAAGGAAACCUGGAGUCCUCACCCAAGGCUGUAAAGCUAGCGGGUACCUUGGCUCUCUUCACUGAAACAGAACUGAGGCAACAUGCAGGGAAAAGGAGCAGUGUUUAUCUGGGGCCAUUUAUUGACCCAACAACAUUCCGGAAACUGGGUAAAGUCACUGAAAUGGAGAAGGCCCAGAAAUAGCAGCAGCUCUGCAAACGGCGGGGCAAGGGGAAACGCUUGCCAAGGGCCAGGGGACUCACUCGUGUAACGCAGGGCUCGAGAGGGCCAACACUUUCUUGUAGUGAACCGUCCUUUCUGGGCCGCCCUGUUGUUCCAGGGGCUUCCCUGGGGCUCAGACAGUAAGCGUCUGCCCACAAGACAGGAGACCUGGGUUCCAUCCCUGGUCGGGAAGAUCCCCUGGAGAAGGAAAUGGCAACCCACUCCAGGAUUCGUGCCUGGAGAGUUCCAUGGACAGAGGAGCCUGGCGCGACAGUCCACGGGGUCGCAAAGAGUCGGACACAACUGAGCGGCUUCCCUUCCUGAUGGUCCAGUGGUUAAGGAUCCAUCUUGCAACGCAAAGGACACCAGGUCGAUCCCUGGCCCAAGAAGAUCCCACACGCUGCAGGGCGGGCGAGCCCGUGUGCCCCAACGACUGGGCCCACACACCACAACCAUCAGGGCCACACAACACAGCCACCAAAGCCACACACCACAGCCACCAAAGCCCAUACACCACAAUACCGGGGCCACACACCACAACACCGGGGCCACACACCACAAUACCGGGGCCACACACCACAACACCAAAGCCACACACACCACAACCACCAAAGCCACACACCACAACCACCAAAACCCACACACACAACACCAGGGCCACACACCACAGCCACCAAAGCCACACACACAGCACCGGGGCCACACACCACCCCCACCAAAGCCACACACAUCACAACCACAAAAGCCACACACCACAACCACCAAAGCCACACACACAACACUGGGGCCACACACCACAACACCAGGGCCACACAACACAGCCACCAAAGCCACACACACAACACCGGGGCCACACAGCACAGCCACCAAAGCCACAUACACCACAAUCACAAAAGCCACACCACAACACCGGGGCCCACGGGCCCUGAGCCUGAGUCCCACAGCCCGAGACGCCCCUGCGGUGAGAAGUCUGCACACGGCAAUGAGAGGGAUCCCCGAGUCACUGCGAGUAGAGGCAACUCUGCACGUCAGUGGGGACCCAGCGCUGCCAACAAUGUGUAAGUAUUUAAAACCUUCCUUCCUGACGCACAGAGGACUCAGUGAUUUUCCUCUUGGAGAGCAGAGCAAAGGGCGUGAAACGCAGCUCCCGCCCUGGCGUGCUGCCGUCCGCGGGGUUCAGAGAGCCGGACUCGGCCGAGCGACUGAACCGCAACCAGCAAAGGCAAGAGCAACCACUCACCGCGCGGCCGUCGGGUCCGGGAACUGGCGCUAGGAGUCGGGGCCACGCCGGGAUGGCCUGGACAGGGCCCUCCCUCCGGGAGCCCGGCAUCCAGGCUGGGACAGAUAAACUGCUGUCCACGAAGCAAGGCAGGGUGAGGCCAGGGUGAAGCCAGCUCUGCCCUGGCUUCAGGGCCCUGAAUGCAGCCUUCCUUGGGACAAAUGCCUGUGGUACACACAGGGCCAGUGCUGAAGGCAGCUGACACGCUUGGUGAGCUGCUGUGUUUCCAAUGAAUGAGACUCCUAGUGAUGCUCUGACAUUGCAGAGAUUGGCAGAUUGGCCGAGGACUGAAGUAGAGUCGUUUUCCAACACCGGGCUAUCUCCUUCUGUUCAGCAAAGUGACUCAGCUGCGCGCAUGCCUGCAUCGCCUCCUUGUUAGAGCCGCUUCCCGUUUAGGUCACACAGGCCGCUGGGUCGCGACCCUGCGCUGCCCAGUAGGCCCCCAUUAGUCACCUACUUCUACACGGUGUCAGCUCCCCACCUGGCUGACCAGGCCCGUUCUCUCCGUCGGAGACUAUUUGCGAAUGGGUUCAUCUGCACCGUUUUCCUGGCUUCCCAGGCUCGGGGUAAAGAGCCCACCUGCCAGUGCAGGAG